rnacentral:rRNA from 1 species
GACGAACGCUGGCGACGUGCUUAACACAUGCAAGUCGAACGGAAAGGCCCUGCUUUUGUGGGGUGCUCGAGUGGCGAACGGGUGAGUAACACGUGAGUAACCUGCCCUUGACUUUGGGAUAACUUCAGGAAACUGGGGCUAAUACCGGAUAGGAGCUCCUGCUGCAUGGUGGGGGUUGGAAAGUUUCGGCGGUUGGGGAUGGACUCGCGGCUUAUCAGCUUGUUGGUGGGGUAGUGGCUUACCAAGGCUUUGACGGGUAGCCGGCCUGAGAGGGUGACCGGCCACAUUGGGACUGAGAUACGGCCCAGACUCCUACGGGAGGCAGCAGUGGGGAAUAUUGCACAAUGGGCGGAAGCCUGAUGCAGCAACGCCGCGUGCGGGAUGGCGGCCUUCGGGUUGUAAACCGCUUUCGCCUGUGACGAAGCGUGAGUGACGGUAAUGGGUAAAGAAGCACCGGCUAACUACGUG